rnacentral:rRNA from 1 species
CCUACGGGAUGCAGCAGUGGGGAAUAUUGCACAAUGGGCGCAAGCCUGAUGCAGCCAUGCCGCGUGUAUGAAGAAGGCCUUCGGGUUGUAAAGUACUUUCAGCAGGGGAGGAAGGUGUUGUGGUUAAUAACCACAGCAAUUGACGUUACCCGCAGAAGAAGCACCGGCUAACUCCGUGCCAGCAGCCGCGGUAAUACGGAGGGUGCAAGCGUUAAUCGGAAUUACUGGGCGUAAAGCGCACGCAGGCGGUCUGUCAAGUCGGAUGUGAAAUCCCCGGGCUCAACCUGAGAACUGCAUUCGAAACUGGCAGGCUAGAGUCUUGUAGAGGGGGGUAGAAUUCCAGGUGUAGCGGUGAAAUGCGUAGAGAUCUGGAGGAAUACCGGUGGCGAAGGCGGCCCCCUGGACAAAGACUGACGCUCAGGUGCGAAAGCGUGGGGAGCAAACAGGAUUAGAUACCCGGGUAGUC